rnacentral:rRNA from 1 species
UACAGAGGGUGCUAGCGUUAAUCGGAUUUACUGGGCGUAAAGCGUGUGUAGGCGGUUUGUUAAGUCGGGUGUGAAAUCCCUGGGCUCAACCUGGGAAUUGCAUUUGAUACUGGCAAGCUAGAGUACGGUAGAGGGCGGCGGAAUUCCGGGUGUAGCGGUGAAAUGCGUAGAUAUCCGGAGGAACACCGAUGGCGAAGGCAACCGCCUGGGCCUGUGCUGACACUGAGACACGAAAGCGUGGGGAGCAAAC